rnacentral:ncRNA from 19 species
GUUUCCGAGGAGCGUUGCGACGGGCCCCGCCCGCCAGGCUCGGAAAUGGUCAACCGAGCGGUGUGUCU